GCUGAACUAAUCAAUUAGCUCAUUUUGUCUGAAGUGAUGUGUAAUUAGGAGAAAGUCCUGCUGCAUUUCAGAAUCAGGGUUUCCUAUCGGCAUUUUCAUAAUCUUAUCAAUUUUGGUGUUAUGUCAACCUUGUAGUGUGUAAAUACCAUCCAGAAAACAGGAAUCAACUGAGCCAUCUGUAAUUAUUGGGACAGUUUCAGACAUGCUCAGGAUGCGGCUGGCCACCCCUGGGAAUGUGAAAGUGCAUGGGGGUAGGAGAGAGGGAGAGAGAUGCAUCCACC